rnacentral:rRNA from 1 species
GCUCAAAUUUGAAAUCUGGCCCCCCGGCCCGCGGGGGCCCGAGUUGUAAUUUGCAGAGGAUGCUUUCGGCGCGGCGCCUUCCGAGUUCCCUGGAACGGGACGCCAUAGAGGGUGAGAGCCCCGUACGGUCGGACGCCUAGCCACUGUAAAGCUCCCUCGACGAGUCGAGUAGUUUGGGAAUGCUGCUCUAAACGGGAGGUAUAUGUCUUCUAAAGCUAAAUACUGGCCAGAGACCGAUAGCGCACAAGUAGAGUGAUCGAAAGAUGAAAAGCACUUUGAAAAGAGAGUUAAACAGCACGUGAAAUUGUUGAAAGGGAAGCGCUCGAGACCAGACUUGGGCCCGGGGGAUCAUCCGGCGUUCUCGCCGGUGCACUCCGCCGGGCCCAGGCCAGCAUCAGCUCGCCGCGGGGGACAAAGGCGCCGGGAACGUGGCUCCCCACGGGGAGUGUUAUAGCCCGGCGCGCAAUGCCCCGCGCGCGGACUGAGGCACGCGCUCCGCAAGGAUGCUGGCGUAAUGGUCCCCAGCGACCCGUCUUGAAACACGGACCAAGGAGUCGUCCUCGUAUGCGAGUGUUCGGGCGUCAAACCCCUACGCGUAAUGAAAGUGAGCGCAGGUGAGAGCUUCGGCGCACCACCGACCGAUCCCGAUGGCUCGCCCGGACGGAUUUGAGUAGGAGCAUACGGGGCCGGACCCGAAAGAAGGUGAACUAUGCCUGUAUAGGGUGAAGCCAGAGGAAACUCUGGUGGAGGCUCGCAGCGGUUCUGACGUGC